AGUAACGGCGAGUGAACAGGGAAAAGCCCAAAUUUGUAAUCUGGCACUUUUUACGAGUGUCCGAGUUGUAAUUUGUAGAACUGUUAUCCGUGCUGGACCAUGUACAAGUCUGUUGAAAAGCAGCAUCAUUGAAGGUGAAAAUCCUGUAGAUGAUAUGGACUACCAGUACUUUUGUGAUACGGUUUCUAAGAGUCGAGUUGUUUGGGAAUGCAGCUCAAAGUGGGUGGUAAAUUCCAUCUAAGGCUAAAUAUAAGUGAGAGACCGAUAGCAAACAAGUACCGUGAGGGAAAGAUGAAAAGAACUUUGAAAAUAGAGUUAACAGUACGUGAAAUUGCUGAAAGGGAAACGUUUGAAGUUAGUUUUGUAUUCGUUGGAUCAGCUUCGCAAGGAGUGUAUUCUGAUGAUAAGCAAGUCAACAUCAGUCUAUGAGUGUUGGAGAAGGGUUUUGAGAAUGUAGCAAUUUAAUUGUGUUAUAGCUUGAGACUUGGAUACAAUGCUUUGGAUUGAGGAACGCGUAGUAAGCUUUGAGCGGAUUCGAAAGGAUCUCCUUACUAUGGAUGUUGGUGAAAUAACU
rnacentral:rRNA from 1 species